rnacentral:rRNA from 1 species
GCAAUGCCGCGUGAGUGAUGAAGGCCUUAGGGUUGUAAAGCUCUUUUACCCGGGAUGAUAAUGACAGUACCGGGAGAAUAAGCUCCGGCUAACUCCGUGCCAGCAGCCGCGGUAAUACGGAGGGAGCUAGCGUUAUUCGGAAUUACUGGGCGUAAAGCGCACGUAGGCGGCUUUGUAAGUAAGAGGUGAAAGCCCAGAGCUCAACUCUGGAAUUGCCUUUUAGACUGCAUCGCUUGAAUCAUGGAGAGGUCAGUGGAAUUCCGAGUGUAGAGGUGAAAUUCGUAGAUAUUCGGAAGAACACCAGUGGCGAAGGCGGCUGACUGGACAUGUAUUGACGCUGAGGUGCGAAAGCGUGGGGAGCAAACAGGAUUAGAU